GACAGAGGUGCCGAGCGUUAGGCGGAAUCACUGGGCUUAAAGCGUGUGUAGGCGGAUGGGUAAGUACCUUGUGAAAUCCCACGGCUCAACCGUGGAACUGCUCGGUAUACUGCUCGUCUUGAGCCAACUAGGGGCGACCGGAACAAACGGUGGAGCGGUGAAAUGCGUAGAUAUCGUUUGGAACGCCGAUGGUGAAAACAGGUCGCUGGGGUUGUGCUGACGCUGAGACACGAAGGUCAGGGGAGCAAACGGG
rnacentral:rRNA from 1 species